rnacentral:lncRNA from 1 species
ACGAUGAAAUAAUAAUUGUGGUAUGAGCAAAAUUUGUGACAAAAAGUUGUCCAUACACUCGUAGAUCAAUACUGGACCAAAACCAUGAUUAUAUAUCUCAAAAUAGAAGUUGUUUACACACAUAUGAAACCAAAUCAUAAGAGAUAUUGGAAUUAUGGUCCAACCUAGAAACACUUUCAAAAUAUACCAACCCAUCCGGAUUACUACAAAUACAAGUUACUUCACACCCUACAGAGACCGAACUAAAAGCUCUUUGAUCUCUUAGAAACACAAGCUUUCAUAAUUUAAAACAUAAAAUAAAAAACAAACAACGACACAAAUUAAAGACUCUUUAAAUUAUGAGCAAAUUAAAGGUCUUAGAUGCUUCUUCCUGUUCACUUGAAUUCCAUGAUCAUGUUGUUCUCCGGAGCCAGCCCAACGCACGCCCUCAGAAUGUUCUCCAGCAUAGCCCGCUGUUUCGACAGCGCGUUAACCACCGGGGUUCCCGGCGGCACAAGCGGUGCCUUGGUGAGGUAGCUGAGUAUGGUGGCCACAGGAUGGAAAGAAUGAAACUUUCCCUGCCAAAAAAAUAAGAUUCAAAACAUCAAAGCCGCGAUUCAAUGAAAACAGAAAACCCAAAAUAACCAGUACUAUGAACUGGCGAACCUCUCCCUCAGAUUUGAACUGGAUCCUGGUGCUGAGCUCUGCGAGGAGAACAAGAUCCAAGAUGAUUGGAGCAGCUAAGAGAGAGUCCUCGCAGGUAUUGUGCAUCACAAUUGUGUUCUUCCCUCCCAUGAAGAUCUCUGAU